rnacentral:rRNA from 1 species
UACGUAGGGUGCGAGCGUUGUCCGGAAUUACUGGGCGUAAAGAGCUCGUAGGUGGUUUGUCGCGUUGUUCGUGAAAACUCACAACUCAAUUGUGGGCGUGCGGGCGAUACGGGCAGACUGGAGUACUGCAGGGGAGACUGGAAUUCCUGGUGUAGCGGUGGAAUGCGCAGAUAUCAGGAGGAACACCGGUGGCGAAGGCGGGUCUCUGGGCAGUAACUGACGCUGAGGAGCGAAAAGCGUGGGGGAGCGAACAGG